GGUCUGGUAGUUCAGCUGGUUAGAAUACAUGCCUGUCACGCACGGAUGUCGUUAUUGUGGUCCCGUCCAGACCGCCA
rnacentral:tRNA from 1 species